rnacentral:rRNA from 1 species
UACGAAGGGGGCUAGCGUUGCUCGGAAUCACUGGGCGUAAAGGGUGCGUAGGCGGGUCUUUAAGUCAGGGGUGAAAUCCUGGAGCUCAACUCCAGAACUGCCUUUGAUACUGAAGAUCUUGAGUUCGGGAGAGGUGAGUGGAACUGCGAGUGUAGAGGUGAAAUUCGUAGAUAUUCGCAAGAACACCAGUGGCGAAGGCGGCUCACUGGCCCGAUACUGACGCUGAGGCACGAAAGCUAGGGGAGCAAACGGGAU